ensembl:lncRNA
GCAGGAAGUACCCAUGCAUCGGUCGUUUUUUUGGCAGAUGAGCUUUUCUCACUUGUAGCUCAGUGCUUACAUACUACCUUAGCCUGUGCUGCUGUGUGCAUUCAUUUAACUUUAGGACUCAGGUUUGCAGCAGAUUUACACCCAGAUUUGUACAUAAUUUUCAAGAAUCUUUGAAAGAUUGAAACCACAGUGUGGGUGAAUGAAGAGCAUGGAACUGUUUUUUCUCAUUGUGCUGUUAGCAGGAGGAACUCAAGCUCUCAUUCCAGUUGAUGUGACUACUUGUGACCUCAGGACGAACACAUGUCCAUGCUCUCCUCUACUUGAAGGAACUGUGUAUAUCCAAGUGAUGACUGAUGCUAGUGGCCAUGAUCUGAAGUGUUUGAAGGUGCUUCCCAAGGUGAACAUAACUGUGUUCAGUCUGAAGAAAGAAACAGUAACAAUGACAGACAAGGAAUUUAACAACAGACUAAUGUUUAUAAUCAAGAACGGAACACUCAAGAUCACAAACCUGAGGAAGGAGGAUUCAGGUCAAUACAGCAUUGAGGUCUUUAAUUCAAAUGGAGUCCGAGAGAAAAACAUUUAUUUCACCCUGGAUGUUAAAGACAGCAGCAAAGUUGAAAGCAAGUCAUCACACAGUUUUCCUUACCUGAGGAUAGUCUUUGCUGCACUGGGAUCUCCCCUGAUAGCAGUGUCGUGCUGCGUUGUAUAUCGGGAACUGAAGCAUCUUAAGAAGACUUCUAACAAGGCGGCCCAUGAUCAAAAGAGGUUGAUAGACGAUUACAUAAUUUCAGUGAAUACCAUCAUUUGAUGGGUAAUUGUAAAAGUCUUUGUUUUGCUAUAAUUGUUUUUUUUUCUUUCACAGCCUCAGGUGUGAAACAGAGAAUAUAAACCUUAAGUGUGAGUCUGAGCUUUAGUGAGCUGAACUCCCUCAUAAUCAGCACUGGACACUGAACUGAGGAUCAAUGAAAUAAAAAAAAAAAAAGGAAAUUCAAAAAC